UUGGACCUAUACGUGGUCACACUGUUUUUGUUCCAGCUCUAAUUUCGUGGAACCUUUGCGUGAUUUGCCAUACGAAAUUACUCAAGUAAAGGAUUCCCCGCGAAAACGUAAGGCAAUACCCAGUGUGACGUAACCGAAACGGAGAGACCAAUCCCAGGUGUUACCACGCAGGACUUGUCACUUCUAUCCAGGAGCAAACCAGACACUCGGACUCCAGGACUCCGACAGGAAGAAACGAAACCGGAAGCAGCAGCAUCUUAAUCCUUACUAUCGACAGGAUAUCCAACUAUCCAAACCCCUCGUCUCUGUGUGC